rnacentral:rRNA from 1 species
GACGAACGCUGGCGGCGUGCUUAACACAUGCAAGUCGAACGGAAAGGCCCUGCUUUUGUGGGGUGCUCGAGUGGCGAACGGGUGAGUAACACGUGAGUAACCUGCCCUUGACUUUGGGAUAACUUCAGGAAACUGGGGCUAAUACCGGAUAGGAGCUCCUGCUGCAUGGUGGGGGUUGGAAAGUUUCGGCGGUUGGGGAUGGACUCGCGGCUUAUCAGCUUGUUGGUGGGGUAGUGGCUUACCAAGGCUUUGACGGGUAGCCGGCCUGAGAGGGUGACCGGCCACAUUGGGACUGAGAUACGGCCCAGACUCCUACGGGAGGCAGCAGUGGUGAAUAUUGCACAAUGGGCGGAAGCCUGAUGCAGCAACGCCGCGUGCGGGAUGACGGCCUUCGGGUUGUAAACCGCUUUCGCCUGUGACGAAGCGUGAGUGACGGUAAUGGGUAAGAAGCACCGGCUAACUACGUG